rnacentral:snRNA from 1 species
GUGCUCGUUUCAGCAGCACACAUACUAAAAUUGGAAUGAUACAGAGAUUAGCAUGGCCCCUGCACAAGGAUGACACGCAAAUUCGUGAAGCGUUCCAUUAAAAA